CCACAUGUGGCACAGUGGUAAGGAGCUGGGUUCAGAACCCAAAGGUUCCUGGUUUGACUCCUGUGUGUGGU